UGGAGUCGUGCUCGGCCCUGCUGGGGUUCGUGUACGGGACGAUCCGGCAGGAGCAGUUCUGGAAGCACCGUCUGGCGCUGCUGGCGGCGGCCAACAAGUACGGGCUGGGCGAGGUGAAGGCGUGCUGCGAGGAGAGCCUGCUGGAGGACAUCAGCUCGGGCAACGUGCUGGAGCGGCUCCACGUCGCGUGGCUGUACCAGCUGGAGCGGCUCAAGAAGGGGUGCCUGGCGUACCUGUUCGUGUUCGGCAAGAUCUACGACGUCCGGGACGAGAUCGGCGGCUUCUUCCACCACGCCGACCGCGAGCUGACGCUGGAGAUGUUCCAGGAGGUGCUCAGCGUGUGGAAGCCCAUCUGAAUCUCCUGUAUGUUUGGUGGCUGGCUGUGCUGCCGUGACUGAAGCUGUCUUGUGUAGCCGGCCCUGUAUGUAAUGUACACCAAUGUAAUUAUGCGAAUGUGAAUCGCUGCUGGUGCG
rnacentral:lncRNA from 1 species